rnacentral:rRNA from 1 species
UACGGAGGAUGCAAGCGUUAUCCGGAUUCAUUGGGUUUAAAGGGUGCGCAGGCGGACUAAUAAGUCAGUGGUGAAAUUCUACGGCUCAACUGUAGAACUGCCAUUGAUACUGUUAGACUAGAGUAUAAUUGGAGUGGGCGGAAUGUGUCAUGUAGCGGUGAAAUGCAUAGAUAUGACACAGAACACCGAUCGCGAAGGCAGCUCACUAAGUUACCACUGACGCUCAUGCACGAAAGCGUGGGGAU